UAGUUUUGGUUUCUCUUUAAUCAAGCAUUAAUCUUUUGCCUUUUAGUAAAGAUUUUUGUGGAGAGGAUCGUCAAUGUGUUUGAUGUAUUUUUAUGAGCUUUGCUCUGGCAAAGCU